AACCGUGUGGUGCAGGACUAGAUCCCGGUAAAAUAUCAGGUGCCGGACCAGAUGGUUAUGCUGAGCUCAAGAUGCAUCCUUUCUAUAGGGGAGUUGAUUGGAGUAGUUUAAGAGCAAAAACCCCUCCAAAGCUUGCUUUAGAGACGGGGGCUCAAUCAAGUGAGGGUGGUGAUGAUUAUAAUGAUUCUUCGUGGAAUCCUACUUACAUCGGAGAUGGUUAAGCUGGAAAGAAAGACGGAAUUGUCAGUGCCUCAUCAUCGGCUGAAUCAUCUGGCCAUAUAACUAGACUUGCCUUGGUCGAUUCCUUCGACUCAAAAUGGCAACAAUUUUUGGAUCCGGGAGAAUUAGUUCUUAUGAUCUCAAUGAUGAAGAAACUACAGAAAUUAUCCAGCAAGGAAGUGCAGCUUAUCCUCACCAACAAGCCGAAAUUGAUCUACGUUGAUCCUUCAAAACUGGUCGUGAAAGGGGACAUUAUUUGGUCCGAUAAUUCUGAUGACCUCGGCGUCCAGGUCACAAGUCCGUCGCACUUCAAGAUUUGCACGCCAAAAAAGGUACUGUCAUUUGAUGAUUCGAAACAAAGAGCACGGCAAUGGAAAAAAGUGAUCGAAGUUAAAGGGAUUUUAUUGGCAUUAAGCACCGUAUUCAUUGGC